AUUACUUGGGGAUCUUGCCAAAUGCAGAUUCUGAUUGGGAGUUGGGCCCAAGAUUCUGCAUUUGCAGCAAGCACCCAAGUGAUGCGAU
rnacentral:pre_miRNA from 1 species